rnacentral:tRNA from 1 species
GGUCCAAUGGUCUAGAGGUAUGAUUCUCGCCUUGGUUGCGAGAGGUCCCGGGUUCAAAUCCCGGUUAGACCU